rnacentral:SRP_RNA from 1 species
GCCGGGCGCGGUGGCGCGUGCCUGUAGUCCCAGCUACUCGGGAGGCUGAGGCUGGAGGAUCCCUUGAGUUCAGGAGUUCUGGGCUGUAGUGCGCUAUGCCGAUCGGGUGUCCGCACUAAGUUCGGCAUCAAUAUGGUGACCUCCCGGGAGCGGGGGACCACCAGGUUGCCUAAGGAGGGGUGAACCGGCCCAGGUCGGAAACGGAGCAGGUCAAAACUCCCGUGCUGAUCAGUAGUGGGAUUGCGCCUGUGAAUAGCCACUGCACUCCAGCCUGGGCAACAUAGUGAGACCCUGCCUCU